UACGGGGGGGGCAAGCGUUGUUCGGAAUUACUGGGCGUAAAGGGCUCGUAGGUGGCCAACUAAGUCAGACGUGAAAUCCCUCGGCUUAACCGGGGAACUGCGUCUGAUACUGGUUGGCUUGAGUUUGGGAGAGGGACGCGGAAUUCCAGGUGUAGCGGUGAAAUGCGUAGAUAUCGGAAGGAACAUCAGUGGCGAAAGCGGCUUCCUGGACCAGUACCGACGUUCAGGCACGAAAGCGUGGGGAGCAAACAGG
rnacentral:rRNA from 1 species